AACUUUCAGCAAUGGAUCACUUGGUUCUGGCAUCGAUGAAGAACGCAGCGAAAUGCGAUAAGUAAGGUGAAUUGCAGAAUUCAGUGAAUCAUCGAAUCUUUGAACGCACAUUGCGCCCCGUGGUAUUCCGCGGGGCAUGCCUGGUCGAGCGUCAUUUCAACCCAUCAAGCUUCGGCUUGGACUAGGGGCCUGCGGUUUCGCAGCCUCUAAACCCAGUGGCGGUGCUAUUGAGCUCUGAGCGUAGUAAUUUUUCUCGCUAUAGGGUCGCGGUAGUUACUUGCCAGAAACCCCCAAUUUUUAUCAGGUUGACCACGGCUCAGGUCGGGAUACCCGCUGAACUUAAGCAUAUCAAUAAGCGGAGGCU
rnacentral:misc_RNA from 1 species